GCUGGGCGUGUUGAUGAGCGCCUGUAAUCCCAGUUACUUGGGAGGCUGAGGCAGGAGAAUCACUUGAACCUGGGAGUUGGAGGUUGCAGUGAGCCAAGAUGAGGCCACUGCACUUCAGCCUGGGUAACAGAGUGAGACCUUGUCUCAA
rnacentral:SRP_RNA from 2 species